rnacentral:rRNA from 1 species
UACAGAGGGUGCGAGCGUUAAUCGGAAUUACUGGGCGUAAAGCGUGCGUAGACGGUAGCGUAAGUCAGAUGUGAAAGCCCCGGGCUCAACCUGGGAAUUGCAUUUGAGACUGCUCUGCUCGGGUGCGGAAGAGGGAAGCGGAAUUUCCGGUGUAGCGGUGAAAUGCGCAGAUAUCAGGAAGAACACCCGUGGCUAAGGCGGCUCUCUAGUACGGUACUGACGCUGAGACGCGAAAGCGUGGGGAGCGAACAGG